rnacentral:rRNA from 1 species
UACGGAGGGUGCAAGCGUUAUCCGGAUUCACUGGGUUUAAAGGGUGCGUAGGUGGGCUGGUAAGUCAGUGGUGAAAUCUCCGAGCUUAACUCGGAAACUGCCAUUGAUACUAUUAGUCUUGAAUAUUGUGGAGGUCAGCGGAAUAUGUCAUGUAGCGGUGAAAUGCUUAGAUAUGACAUAGAACACCGAUUGCGAAGGCAGCUCGCUACACGGUUAUUGACGCUGAGGCACGAAAGCGUGGGGAUCAAACAGG